rnacentral:tRNA from 1 species
AAAUCUUAAGGUUAAAUACUGCCUAUUUGUGGUAUAGGUGAUUUCAAUUAGUUUUGAAAAGAUUUC